UACGUAGGGUGCAAGCGUUGUCCGGAAUUAUUGGGCGUAAAGAGCUCGUAGGCGGUUUGUUGCGUCGGCUGUGAAAUCCCGAGGCUCAACCUCGGGUCUGCAGUCGAUACGAGCAAACUAGAGUGUUGCAGGGGAGACUGGAAUUCCUGGUGUAGCGGUGAAAUGCGCAGAUAUCAGGAGGAACACCGGUGGCGAAGGCGGGUCUCUGGACAGUUCCGUGACACUGAGGCAGCGAAGGCCAGGGGAGGCAAACGGGAUUCAGACUACCC
rnacentral:rRNA from 1 species